CCCGCCAGGCCUCUUAACAAUGCCCAAAUGUGGAGGGU
rnacentral:sRNA from 12 species